ensembl:miRNA Mir484 microRNA 484
GCAUGCAGGGAAGGGGGGGCGGGGCCUCGCGGCCCUGCUGCCUCGUCAGGCUCAGUCCCCUCCCGAUAAACCUCAAA